rnacentral:rRNA from 1 species
UACGGAGGGUGCAAGCGUUAAUCGGAAUUACUGGGCGUAAAGCGCGCGUAGGCGGCUUGUCACGCCGGGUGUGAAAGCCCCGGGCUCAACCUGGGAACGGCAUCCGGAACGGGCAGGCUAGAGUGCAGGAGAGGAAGGUAGAAUUCCCGGUGUAGCGGUGAAAUGCGUAGAGAUCGGGAGGAAUACCAGUGGCGAAGGCGGCCUUCUGGACUGACACUGACGCUGAGGUG